CUGCUCAAUGAAUAUAUAUUUAAAUAGCUGCGGUAUAUUAACCGUACAAAGGUAGCAUAAUCAAUAGUUUUUUAAUUGAAAGCUGGAAUGAAUGAUUUGAUGAAAUGAAUUUUGUCUCAAAUUUAUUAAUAUUAGAAUUUUUUUUUUAGUAAAAAUACUAAUUUUUUUUUAAAAGACGAGAAGACCCUAUAGAUUUUUUAUAAUUUGUUUUUUUUAAAAAAAAACAAUAAAUUAUUUGGUUGGGGAAAUUAUUAAAUUAAUUAAAUUUUAAUUUUUUUAAACAAUGAUUUUUGAUUAUAUGAUCUUGAUUUUUUGGGAUUAAAAAGAAUAAAAUACCUUAGGGAUAACAGCGUAAUUUUUUUAGAGAGAUCAUAUUAAUAAAAAAGUUUGCGACCUCGAUGUUGAAUUAAGAUAAAAUUUUAAUGAAGAAGUUAAAAAUUU
rnacentral:rRNA from 1 species